CCUACGGGUGGCAGCAGUCGAGAAUCAUUCACAAUGGGGGAAACCCUGAUGGUGCGACGCCGCGUGGGGGAAUGAAGGUCUUCGGAUUGUAAACCCCUGUCAUGUGGGAGCAAAUUAAAAAGAUAGUACCACAAGAGGAAGAGACGGCUAACUCUGUGCCAGCAGCCGCGGUAAUACAGAGGUCUCAAGCGUUGUUCGGAAUCACUGGGCGUAAAGCGUGCGUAGGCUGUUUCGUAAGUCGUGUGUGAAAGGCGCGGGCUCAACCCGCGGACGGCACAUGAUACUGCGAGACUAGAGUAAGGGAGGGGGAACCGGAAUUCUCGGUGUAGGAGUGAAAUGCGUAGAUAUCGAGAGGAACACUCGUGGCGAAGGCGAGUACCUGGACAUUAACUGACGCUGAGGCACGAAGGCCAGGGGAGCGAAAGGGAUUAGAUACCCCAGUAGUC
rnacentral:rRNA from 1 species